rnacentral:rRNA from 1 species
GCUUGUCUCAAAGAUUAAGCCAUGCAUGUCUUAGUGUAAAUAACUCUUAUGAAACUGCGAAUGGCUCAUUAAAUCAGUUAUCAAAUACGUGAUGGUCGCCUACUACAUGGAUAACCGUGGUAAUUCUAGAGCUAAUACAUGCUGGUUAGCCUGACUUUUAGGAAGGGCUGUAUUUAUUAGAUAACAAACCAAUAUUCCUCGUGUCUAUUGUGAUGACUCAUAAUAACUGAUCGAAUCGCAUGGGCCUUGCCCGCGAUACAUCAUUCAAGUUUCUGCCCCAUCAGCUUUCGAUGGUAGUGUAUUGGACUACCAUGGCUUUAACGGGUAACGGAGGAUUAGGGUUCGAUUCCGGAGAGGGAGCCUGAGAAACGGCUACCACAUCUAAGGAAGGCAGCAGG